GUCUUUUUGAUUAAUAAUUUAAAGUUUAAUUUGCCCCCUGAUUAAUAAUUAAAGGGCUGCAGUAUAUUGACUGUACAAAGGUAGCAUAAUCAUUAGUCUUUUAAUUGAAGACUUGUAUGAAAGAUUUGAUGAAAUAUAAACUGUCUCUAAAUUAAUUAUAGAAAUUAAUUUUUUAAUUAAAAAGUUAAAAUAAUUUAAAAAGACGAGAAGACCCUAUAGAGUUUUAUAAUAAUUAAAAAUUUAAAUUAAAUAUAUAAAUAAUAAAUUUAAAAUUUUAUUAUUAUUUUAUUGGGGUGAUAAAAAAAUUUAAUUAACUUUUUUUAAAAUAAAAUCAUAAAUAAGUGAAUAGAUGAUCCAUAAUUAAUGAUUAAAAGAAAAAAUUACCUUAGGGAUAACAGCGUAAUUUUUUUUUUUAGUACAAAUAAAAAAAAAAGGUUGCGACCUCGAUGUUGGAUUAAGAUAAAAUUUAAAUGCAAAAGUUUAAAAUUUUGAUCUGUUCGAUCAUUAAAAUCUUACAU
rnacentral:rRNA from 1 species